AACGCACGAGACCUGCGGACCUGCGGAGGGAUCAUUAUAGAGUUUUUAACUCCCAAACCCAUGUGAACUUACCUUUGUUGCCUCGGCGGAGCCUACCCGGUACCUACCCUGUAGCGCCCCGCCGGUGGACUUCUAAACUAUUGUUAUUUUAAUGAUAUCUGAGAGUCUUAUUUUAAUAAGUCAAAACUUUUAACAACGGAUCUCU
rnacentral:misc_RNA from 1 species